CGCGUAGGCGGUUGGAUAAGUCAGCUGUGAAAACCACGAGCUCAACUUGUGGCCUGCAGUUGAAACUGUCUGGCUAGAGUGUGGGAGAGGGAAGUGGAAUUCCUGGUGUAGCGGUGAAAUGCGUAGAUAUCAGGAGGAACACCGGUGGCGAAGGCGGCUUCCUGGACCACAACUGACGCUGAGGCGCGAAAGCUAGGGGAGCAAACA
rnacentral:rRNA from 1 species